UACGUAGGGUGCGAGCGUUAAUCGGAAUUACUGGGCGUAAAGCGUGCGCAGGCGGUGAUGUAAGACAGUUGUGAAAUCCCCGGGCUCAACCUGGGAACUGCAUCUGUGACUGCAUCGCUGGAGUGCGGCAGAGGGGGGAUGGAAUUCCGCGUGUAGCAGUGAAAUGCGUAGAUAUGCGGAGGAACACCGAUGGCGAAGGCAAUCCCCUGGGCCUGCACUGACGCUCAUGCACGAAAGCGUGGGGAGCAAACAGG
rnacentral:rRNA from 1 species